UAGGGCGCGGCGUUAUCCGGAAUUAUUGGGCGUAAAGAGCUCGUAGGCGGUUUGUCGCGUCUGCUGUGAAAUCCGGAGGCUCAACCUCCGGCCUGCAGUGGGUACGGGCAGACUAGAGUGCGGUAGGGGAGAUUGGAAUUCCUGGUGUAGCGGUGGAAUGCGCAAAUAUCAGGAGGAACACCGAUGGCGAAGGCAGAUCUCUGGGCCGUAACUGACGCUGAGGAGCGAAAGGGUGGGGAGCAAACAGGCUUAAAUACCCUGGUAGUCCACCCCGUAAACGUUGGGAACUAGUUGUGGGGUCCAUUCCACGGAUUCCGUGACGCACCUAACGCAUUAAGUUCCCCGCCUGGGGAGUACGGCCGCAAGGCUAAAACUCAAAGGAAUUGACGGGGACCCGCACAAGCGGCGGAGCAUGCGGAUUAAUUCGAUGCAACGCGAAAAACCUUACCAAGGCUUGACAUAUACAAGAACGGGCCAAAAAUGGUCAACUCUUUGGACACUCGUAAACAGGUGGUGCAUGGUUGUCGUCAGCUCGUGUCGUGAGAUGUUGGGUUAAGUCCCGCAACGAGCGCAACCCUCGUUCUAUGUUGCCAGCACGUAAUGGUGGGAACUCAUGGGAUACUGCCGGGGUCAACUCGGAGGAAGGUGGGGAUGACGUCAAAUCAUCAUGCCCCUUAUGUCUUGGGCUUCACGCAUGCUACAAUGGCCGGUACAAAGGGCUGCAAUACCGCGAGGUGGAGCGAAUCCCAAAAAGCCGGUCCCAGUUCGGAUUGAGGUCUGCAACUCGACCUCAUGAAGUCGGAGUCGCUAGUAAUCGCAGAUCAGCAACGCUGCGGUGAAUAC
rnacentral:rRNA from 1 species